AGAGAGAGAGAGAGAGAGAGAGAGAGAGAGAGAGAGAGAAGAGAGAGGAGCAAGCAAGGGAAAUGCCAGAUAGCUAUAAAACUAUGAGAUCCCAUGAGAACUCACUCAGUAUGAUGAAAACAGCAUGGGGAAACUGCCCCCGUGAUCCAAUCACCUCCCACCAGGUCCUUUCCUCAACAUAUGGGGAUUAAGAGGAUUGCAAUUCAGGAUGAGAUUUGGGUGGGGACACAGCCAAACCGUAUCAGCAUACCUAGGUUACUAGCUCAUAUCUGGAGCCAGCAAUGGGGUUUGUCCCACCAGAAUCACUCAAGCGUAGAGUGAUAUGGUUCCCCAAAGGAAAACUAAGGUGUUAUUUCUAGACAAAAAGGAUUCAAUGCUGGGAAGGCAAAAGCAGUCUAUCUAUUCCACAGUAGGAUGUGAGUCAUCAGUACACAGGAGAUAGUAAGAAGGCUAGGAGUAGUGGUUGACACCUGUAAUCCCAGCAUUUUGGGAGGCCAAGGCAGGUGGAUUGCUUGAGUCCAGGAGUUCAAGGCCAGCCUGGGCAACAUGGCAAGGCCUUGUCUCUACAAAAACAAUACACAAAUCAGCUGGGUAUGGUGGCAUACACCUGUAGUUCCAGCUACUCAGGAGGCUGAGGUGGGAGGAUCUCUUGAGCCUUGGGAGGUCAAGUCUGCAGUGAGUUGUGAUCACACCACUGCACUCUGGCCUGGGUGAUAAAGUAAGGCCCUGUCUCAAAAAAACAAAAGAAAAGAAAAAUGAUAACAACAAUAAAACCCAGAAAGAAGUAACAAAAUCACCACUGUUUCAUCUCUAUAUUUUUACUUUCUGGUAGUUGAAAGAGAAGAAAUUAUUGGCCAAAAUAAUGUAUGUACAUAUAUCCUUAGAUCUACAUCUAUGUUUAUCUAUAUCUAUAGUCAUAUAGUCAUUUGUAUUGGAAGACACAGCUCCUGAACUUUAUUGCUCUUUAGAUACUGAUCCAUAUGAGAUUCAGAAGAGAACAGGUAAUGCAUUUCAGAUUUAUUUGUGAUGAAUAUAUAGCAUCAAGCUUCAGGAACUGAUUUGCUUCUCAUGUGCAUUGGUACUAGUUGGACUGUCAUCACGCUGUGACAUCGGUCCUCUCUGAAGGACCAAGAGCUCCCCUUCUCUCCUCAUUGCUUUAGGCCUGACCUUUACUGAGAUCCCCCUCCUAAUAGUCUGUAGUCUAUGACAGAUUGGCAAAGUAAACUUUGUCCAUUUCUAUGUUAGUUUUUUUUCUGCAGUGGCAAGAAACAGUCACUGAACAUUGAUUUCUUGAGUAUAAUUUGUCUGUGUUUUAAAAGUUUAGAAAUGUGUUCUUUGGACUACAUACUUGGCCUAAAACACCCAGUGGACUACCACACUAUACCCCCAUCACUUGCACUACAUCACCAAUGGUAGGGUGGCCACAUUCACUGUUUACACGGAUCUAUUCCUUAGGACUGAGUCAUUAGCACAAUCCUGUCUUCCUAGGCUUAUUAGAGAAAUCGAAGACAGGAUAUUUGAAUUGAAAGGUACCUACAAAUCCAUCUUCUUUCCCAUUGAUUGAUUGAAUCCCUUUCAUACUGUUUCUUGAGGAUGGUCAAUCAGUCUUGCUUAAGCACUUCCCCCGGGAGGAAAGUCACUAUUUACAGAUUCCCCAGCCUCUUGCAUUGCUAACAGUUUGUAUCAUGAGAAAGAUCUCUCCCAUAGAGUUGCUCUCUCAUUAAUAGUCACCUCUUCUUAAAGCAACAAGGCCAGUUUUGAGGAAUCUCUUUGUGCCCCUUUUCAGUAGUAGAUCAGGGUUUGCACUUCAAAGGAUAUCGUGGGUGUCUUUUUAUGAGUCAAAGGCUUAUCAUCUUUAUUGCAGAUCAGUAACAAGGCAGGUUUCUGGAAUAUGUAUAUGGUUUCCUUAUAAACAGUCCCCAAACUCAUGUAUCAACCUGACAAAGUCUAGACUCAAGAGUUUGUUUCAAGAAGAAAAAAAAAGAGCCAGCCAUGCUAGAAAGAAUCGCAAGCCUAUAAAUUGUGCUGAAGUGUGUUUAUAUAACUAGAUUAGAGUUUAAAUAAAGCACUCCAACGGUAAACCGAACUACAAGUCCUAGUGGUAAAAGCAACCUCUGAAGAGUCAGUGGAAUGGACAGGUUACACUUGUUUUCAUUGUGCACACAAGCGAACACAGAUUUCCAAAUGGAUGGCUAGCACCUCAGGACAUUGCUUCCAGAGGGCAAAUUUCAUCAUUGUCAUUCUCAUUUUGAGAAACUGAAGUUCAAAGAGAUGGGUGACUGCCCUAAGACAGAGCCCUUAUUUCAAGGUCCAGGGAUACCUAUGACCCCUCUGACCUAAUCCAGGUGACAAUUUAUAGCUGAUUCAUAUGACCCUGUUGACUCAAGCCAGUACCCCAAAGCUAUUUCCCAUUUAAUGAGACAAAAAUCUCACCUGAGAGUGCCAUACUAGCUGUGAAUUUUCAUCAGAUUCUUAGAGAUGACUGCGACUUUCCGCCUUCUCCUCCCAUCAAUAUUUAGAACUCUUGAAUCAUAGUUCAAUUAUCAAUCAAGUUCUCUAGAGAAACAGGGAUAUAACUUGUUCAGUGAUUUUGGCUUAUGCUAAGGGCUAAGCCAGUCAGAAAAGAAAACAGAGGAAC
rnacentral:lncRNA from 10 species